rnacentral:rRNA from 1 species
GAUGAACGCUGGCGGCGUGCCUAAUACAUGCAAGUCGAGCGAACUGAUUAGAAGCUUGCUUCUGUGACGUUAGCGGCGGACGGGUGAGUAACACGUGGGCAACCUGCCUGUAAGACUGGGAUAACUUCGGGAAACCGAAGCUAAUACCGGAUAGAAUCUUCUCCUUCAUGGGAGAUGAUUGAAAGAUGGUUUCGGCUAUCACUUACAGAUGGGCCCGCGGUGCAUUAGCUAGUUGGUAGGGUAACGGCCUACCAAGGCGAUGACGGGUAGGGGGCCUGAGAGGGCGAACCCCCACAUGGGGACUGAGAUACGGCCCUGACUCCUACGGGAGGCAGCAGUAGGGAAUCUUCCGCAAUGGACGAAAGUCUGACGGAGCGACACCGCGUGGAGGACGAAGGCCUUCGGGUUGCAAACUCCUUUUCCAGGGGAAGAAUAAGGGUAAGAGGAAAUGCUUAUCCGAUGACGGUACUCUGGGAAUAAGCCACGGCUAACUCUGUGCCAGCAGCCGCCGUAAGAC